rnacentral:rRNA from 1 species
CGGCCUUCGGGUUGUAAAAUUCUGUGGCGAGGAACGAAUGGCAAGGAGAGGAAAUGCUCUUUGUUUGACGGUACCUCGCUAGAAAGCCACGGCUAACUACGUGCCAGCAGCCGCGGUAAUACGUAGGUGGCAAGCGUUAUCCGGAAUUAUUGGGCGUAAAGAGUGAGCAGGCGGUUUUUUAAGUCUGAAGUCAAAUCCUGUGGCUCAACCACAGUUCGCUUUGGAAACUGAAGAACUAGAGUGCGGGAGAGGUAAGCGGAAUUCCAUAUGUAGCGGUGAAAUGCACAGAUAUAUGGAGGAACACCGGUGGCGAAGGCGGCUUACCAGCCCGAUACUGACGCUCAGUCACGAAAGCGUGGGGAGCAAAUAGGCUUAGAUACCCUAGUAGUCCACGCCGUAAACGUUGAGGACCUGAUGCCGGAGUAUUUCGGUGUCGUAGCUAACGCGUUAAGUCCUCCGCCUGGGUACUACGUUCGCAAGAAUAAAACUUAAAGGAAUUGACGGGGGCCCGCACAAGCAGUGGAGCAUGUGGUUUAAUUCGUCGCUACGCGAAAAACCUUACCAGGGUUUGACAUCCCGCUAAAAGUCUUGGAAACAAGAUCAUAGUUAUAGCGGUGAAAGGUGGUGCAUGGUUGUCGUCAGCUCGUGUCGUGAGAUGUUGGGUUAAGUCCCCUAACGAGCGCAACCCUUGUCUCUAUUUGCCAUCAUUAAGUUGGGAACUAUAGAGAGACUGCCGGUGCAAACCGGAGGAAGAUGGGGAUGACGUCAAAUCAUCAUGCCCCUUAUGCCCUGGGCCACACACGUGCUACAAUGGCCGGUACAGAGAGAAGCAAUCCCGUGAGGAGGAGCAAAUCUCACAAAGCCGGUCUCAGUUCGGAUUGGAGUCUGCAACUCGACUCCAUGAAGCUGGAAUUGCUAGUAAUCGCAGAUCAGCAUUGCUGCGGUGAAUACGUUCCCGGGCCUUGUACACACUGCCCGUCACACCAUGAGAGUCGGCAAUACUCGAAGUCGUUAUCUUAACCCGCAAGGGAGGGAGGCGCCUAAGGUAGGGCUGAUGAUUGGGGUUAAGUCGUAACAAGGUAUCCCUACGGGAACGUGGGGAUG